rnacentral:rRNA from 1 species
GACGGACGCUGGCGGCGUGCCUAAUACAUGCAAGUCGAGCGGACAGAAGGGAGCUUGCUCCCGGAAGUUAGCGGCGGACGGGUGAGUAACACGUGGGCAACCUACCCUGUAGAUCGGGAUAACAUCGAGAAACCGGUGCUAAUACCGGAUAAUCAUUUGAAGUGCAUGCUUCGAAUGUAAAAGAUGGCUCCGGCUAUCACUACGGGAUGGGCCCGCGGCGCAUUAGCUGGUUGGUAAGGUAAUGGCUUACCAAGGCAACGAUGCGUAGCCGACCUGAGAGGGUGAUCGGCCACACUGGGACUGAGACACGGCCCAGACUCCUACGGGAGGCAGCAGUAGGGAAUCUUCCGCAAUGGACGAAAGUCUGACGGAGCAACGCCGCGUGAGUGAUGAAGGUUUUCGGAUCGUAAAGCUCUGUUGUUAGGGAAGAACAAGUGCCGUUUGAAUAAGGCGGCACCUUGACGGUACCUAACCAGAAAGCCACGGCUAACUACGUGCCAGCCGCCGCGGUAAAAC